rnacentral:rRNA from 1 species
UACGUAGGUGGCAAGCGUUGUCCGGAAUUAUUGGGCGUAAAGCGCGCGCAGGCGGUCCUUUAAGUCUGAUGUGAAAUCCCGCGGCUCAACCGUGGGAGGUCAUUGGAAACUGGGGGACUUGAGUACAGAAGAGGAAAGUGGAAUUCCAAGUGUAGCGGUGAAAUGCGUAGAGAUUUGGAGGAACACCAGUGGCGAAGGCGACUUUCUGGUCUGUAACUGACGCUGAGGCGCGAAAGCGUGGGGAGCAAACAGG